GGGUAAGUCCUAUACAAGCAGCUCCCUUUAACCCUCCAGGUGCGGAAGCAAGCAAAGGUACCAGGUUGAGCGCUGUGCUAUAGGUAGCUUACCCCUU
rnacentral:SRP_RNA from 1 species